GUGAAUCAUCGAGUCUUUGAACGCACCUUGCGCUCCUCGGUAUUCCGAGGAGCAUGCCUGUUUGAGUGUCAUUAAAUUCUCAAUCUUCUUUGGAUCUUUUCAUUGGAGACUUGGAUGUGAGGGUUUGCCGGUUGUUCAAUCGGCUCCCUUUAAAUGUGUUAGCGUUGCCUCAGCCGAUCGAACGCCCCUCGGUAUGAUAAAUAUCUAUGCCGUGUCGGGGAUCGCACGAGAGUAUGCUUCUAACAGUCCCUCUUGGGGGACAUAUUCAUCAUAUCUUGACCUCAAAUCAGGUAGGACUACCCGCUGAACUUAA
rnacentral:rRNA from 1 species